rnacentral:rRNA from 1 species
UGAAUUUGGUGCUUGCACCAGAUGAAACUAGAUACAAGCGAGCGGCGGACGGGUGAGUAACACGUGGGUAACCUGCCCAAGAGACUGGGAUAACACCUGGAAACAGAUGCUAAUACCGGAUAACAACACUAGACGCAUGUCUAGAGUUUAAAAGAUGGUUCUGCUAUCACUCUUGGAUGGACCUGCGGUGCAUUAGCUAGUUGGUAAGGUAACGGCUUACCAAGGCAAUGAUGCAUAGCCGAGUUGAGAGACUGAUCGGCCACAUUGGGACUGAGACACGGCCCAAACUCCUACGGGAGGCAGCAGUAGGGAAUCUUCCACAAUGGACGCAAGUCUGAUGGAGCAACGCCGCGUGAGUGAAGAAGGGUUUCGGCUCGUAAAGCUCUGUUGGUAGUGAAGAAAGAUAGAGGUAGUAACUGGCCUUUAUUUGACGGUAAUUACUUAGAAAGUCACGGCUAACUACGUGCCAGCAGCCGCGGUAAUACGUAGGUGGCAAGCGUUGUCCGGAUUUAUUGGGCGUAAAGCGAGUGCAGGCGGUUCAAUAAGUCUGAUGUGAAAGCCUUCGGCUCAACCGGAGAAUUGCAUCAGAAACUGUUGAACCUGAGUGCAGAAGAGGAGAGUGGAACUCCAUGUGUAGCGGUGGAAUGCGUAGAUAUAUGGAAGAACACCAGUGGCGAAGGCGGCUCUCUGGUCUGCAACUGACGCUGAGG